rnacentral:rRNA from 1 species
GACGUAGGGCGCGAGCGUUGUCCGGAUUUAUUGGGCGUAAAGAGCUCGUAGGCGGUUUGUCGCGUCGUUCGUGAAAACUCACAGCUUAACUGUGAGCUUGCGGUCGAUACGGGCAGGCUAGAGUUCGGUAGGGGAGACUGGAAUUCCUGGUGUAGCGGUGAAAUGCGCAGAUAUCCGGAGGAACACCGGUGGCGAAGGCGGCUUCCUGGACCGACACUGACGCUGAGGCGCGAAAGCUAGGGGAGCAAACGGG